GUAAGCAUAGAUAUAACAUAUACUAAAAUUGGAAUGAUACAGAGAUGAUUAGCUUGGCCCCUGCACAAGGAUGACAUGCAAGUUCGAGAAGUGUUCCAUACUUCA